rnacentral:rRNA from 1 species
UCGCUACUACCGAUGAAUGGCUAGUGAGGCUUGGGAUUGGCUUCGGGAGCGGCAACGGCACCUGUUGCUGAGAACUUGGUCAAACUUGGUCAUUUAGAGGAAGUAAAAGUCGUAACAAGGUUUCCGUAGGUGAACCUGCGGAAGGAUCAUUAACGAGUAACUGAACGGGUUGUAGCUGGCCUUUCGGGGCAUGUGCACACCUGGCUCAUCCACUCUUCAACCUCUGUGCACUUGUUGUAGGUCGGUAGAAGAGCGAGCAUCUAAUGCUUGCUUGGAAGCCUUCCUAUGUUUUACUACAAACGCUUCAGUUUAAGAAUGUUUACCUGCGUAUAACGCAUUUAUAUACAACUUUCAGCAACGGAUCUCUUGGCUCUCGCAUCGAUGAAGAACGCAGCGAAAUGCGAUAAGUAAUGUGAAUUGCAGAAUUCAGUGAAUCAUCGAAUCUUUGAACGCACCUUGCGCUCCCUGGUAUUCCGGGGAGCAUGCCUGUUUGAGUGUCAUGGUAUUCUCAACCUUCAUAACUUUUGUUAUCGAAGGCUUGGACUUGGAGGUUGUGCUGGCUUCUAGUUAAGUCGGCUCCUCUUAAAUGUAUUAGCGUGAGUGUAACGGAUCGCUUCGGUGUGAUAAUUAUCUGCGCCGUGGUCGUGAAGUAACAUAAGCUUGCGCUUCUAACCGUCCUUCAGUUGGACAAUUACUUUGACAUCUGACCUCAAAUCAGGUAGGACUACCCGCUGAACUUAAGCAUAUCAAUAAGCGGAGGAAAAGAAACUAACAAGGAUUCCCCUAGUAACUGCGAGUGAAGCGGGAAAAGCUCAAAUUUAAAAUCUGGCAGUCUUUGGCUGUCCGAGUUGUAAUCUGGAGAAGCGUCUUCCGCGCUGGACCGUGUACAAGUCUCCUGGAACGGAGCGUCAUAGAGGGUGAGAAUCCCGUCUUUGACACGGACUACCAGUGCUCUGUGAUGCGCUCUCAAAGAGUCGAGUUGUUGGGAAAUGCA